AAUAUGUUUUAAUUUCAAAAUAAAAUAAAAAAUAGUAAUUGGGAAAGGAUAAAGCAAAGAUCACAGGGUGUGAGCAAUGGCUUCUUCUUCAUCCAUUAUUCCCCUAACCAAUGCUCAAUUCGCUUCCUUUCAUACUAAUCACUCUUUUCUAACCAUCGCCAAGUAUCUUCAGGAAAGGAUGGUUCAAAGAAGGAUGUGAUCAUGGUUGAUCCUAUCGAAGCCAAGCGAUUGGUUGCCAAACAAAUGGAAAGAAUUAAAGAAAAAGAAAAACUCGAGAAGAGACACCAAAUUGAGGCAACUAAUGGAGCUUGGGCAAUGAUUGGUCUCACAGUGGGCCUAGCUAUUGAAGGUCAAACUGGAUAAAGUAUUGUGACUCAGCUGCAAGACUAAGUUGGAGCAAUUGUUCACUUUUUGUGAAGUAGACAGCCCAAAAGGUGCAUGGAUACAUACUAAGAAACGCAGAUUCUUUCUUCAAAAACCAAAUCAUACAAUUCUCACUACUCAAUUUUCCUUGUUACAUGUUAAUGCUACAUAUGUAACAUGAUUUAACAACAGAAUUUUGUUGCUAGCCUAUUAUUGUUACUUGGUAUGAAUGUUUACCCACUCAUUGUUUUUC